rnacentral:misc_RNA from 1 species
GAUGAAGAACGCAGCGAAAUGCGAUAAGUAAUGUGAAUUGCAGAAUUCAGUGAAUCAUCGAAUCUUUGAACGCACAUUGCGCCCGCCAGUAUUCUGGCGGGCAUGCCUGUUCGAGCGUCAUUACAACCCUCAGGCCCCCGGGCCUGGCGUUGGGGAUCGGCGGAGCCCCCCGUGGGCACACGCCGUCCCCCAAAUACAGUGGCGGUCCCGCCGCAGCUUCCAUCGCGUAGUAGCUAACACCUCGCGACUGGAGAGCGGCGCGGCCACGCCGUAAAACACCCAACUCUUCUGAAGUUGACCUCGAAUCAGGUAGGAAUACCCGCUGAACUUAAGCAUAUCAAUAAGCCGGAGGA